AACAUCUCUCUGCGCUGCCUGUGAAUCCAGACUGUGACUCCAGACUGAGGGCCAAACCGAGACCACUCCCUCCACCGUCAGUUGGCCAUAAUUGUCAGGGUGACCUCCCCGACCGACCGUCUCCACCGACCGUCUCCUCCAGACAGCAGCCCACAGAACAGCCACCGACCAAACUGCCUUGCCCAUGAGACAGGAGCAAAACCAGCUUAGAAAACUUUCCCACUGUUGGAGUAAAACCCAGAAUUCUCCCAGAAAGGAGAAGCAUAAGGAACUUUGAAUUUAUCUUUUAUACUUUAAAAGCAGCAGAACUUGAGACAUUCAUUCCUCGGAGCUUUGUUGAAGAAUUGAGGAAGGGGUGCUUAAUAAUCCCAUUCAAGAAUAGUUCCUCUGGAAGGGAGAGAAAACUCAGAAAUCCCUGAGUACUGUGAUACUCCAAAAUGGGAAGGCCUGGAAAAACCUAGGUCAUUAAAAACUGAAGCUUAAAUUUCUACAUUGCUUAAUUUUGUCUCAACUGCACAAGCCAACAGAGUGUGAGAAAUCUCUCUGCGUGCCAGCCUCCCUUUUCGUCACACAACUCUGGAAACAGUUAUAGGAAGAUUGCAGCAACAAAUUGUAAACAAAACCAGGUCAAGAAACAGAGGAGAGGGCCAGGCAGGGUGGCUCAGGCCUAUAAUCCCAGCACUUUGGGCAGCUGAGGCAGGUGGAUCACCUGAAGUCAGGAGUUCAAGACCAGCCUGGGCAACAUGGCGAAACCUCCUCUCUAAUUAAAAAAUAAAAAAUAAAAAUAAAAAUUA
rnacentral:lncRNA from 10 species